rnacentral:tRNA from 1 species
GGUUUUUUAGUUUAAUUAAAAUGUAGAUUUUGUAAAUCUAUGAUGAUUUAUAUAAUAUCAUUGACCU